AUGUUUCAGGAGAUGAUCAGCUAGAACACUCUCUAAUCCAGUCUCUUAAGACAUUGCGUAAGCAGAUGUUUUCGUGGCAGCAUUCUGGGCAAACCAUCAGUCCGGCCUUAUGUCUCCAGCCAUUUCUGGAUGUAAUUCGGUCUGAUGAAACUGGGGCUCCAAUCACUGGUGUUGCAUUGUCUUCUGUUUUCAAGAUUUUGACCCUUGAUAUUCUUGAUCUUGAUGCUGUCAAUAUUGAAGAUGCAAUGCACUCUGUUGUGGAUGCUGUGACUAGUUGCAGAUUUGAGGUGACAGAUCCUGCAUCAGAAGAAGUUGUAUUGAUGAAGAUACUUCAAGUUCUUUUGGCUUGUAUGAAAAGUAAAGCAUCAAAGAAUUUGACCAACCAUCACGUAUGCAACAUAGUAAACACUUGCUUCCGAUUGGUUCAUCAAGCAAGUGCUAAAAGUGAACUUCUACAGAGAAUAGCACGCCACACGAUGCAUGAAUUGGUUAGAUGUAUCUUCGUUCACCUGCCUGACAUUGAAAGCAGAGUGUGCGCUGAUCCAGAGACUGGCAAGAAA
rnacentral:misc_RNA from 1 species